rnacentral:lncRNA from 1 species
AUAGAGGCUGGUCUGAUAUUGUCAUCGAGGGGGAUUGUCUUCCAAUUAUUAAAGCUCUUCGCGAUGGAGAGAAUGAGGCUGCUGACUUCGGGGCUGUUGUGGAAGAUUGCCGACAAAUGGCUCUAGAAUUUCAAUAUUGCUCUUUUAAUUUCACGAAGCGGUCGGGUAAUAAAUUAGCCCACGCUAUUGCUCAGAUUCCUUGUAAUAACGUGGUGGAGGGUCUUGUUCUCCCACCUAAUUUGGCGUAUAUUGCCUAAUAAAGUGCGUUUUUUCUCAAAAAAAAAAAAAA